AUUGAACGCUGGCGGCAGGCCUAACACAUGCAAGUCGAACGAGUGGCGGACGGGUGAGUAAUGUCUGGGAAACUGCCCGAUGGAGGGGGAUAACUACUGGAAACGGUAGCUAAUACCGCAUACCAUCGGAUGUGCCCCGAUGGGAUUAGCUUGUAGGUGAGGUAACGGCUCACCUAGGCGACGAUCCCUAGCUGGUCUGAGAGGAUGACCAUCAAAACGGGAACUGAGACAAGGUCCAGACGCCUACGGGAGGCAGCAGGGGGGAAUAUGGCACAAUGGGCGCAAGCCUGAUGAAGCCAUGCCGCGGGUAUGAAGAAGGCCUUCGGGUUGUAAAGUACUUUCAGCGGGGAGGCGUUACCCGCAGAAGAAGCACCGGCUAACUCCGUGCCAGCCGCCGCGGUAAUAC
rnacentral:rRNA from 1 species